rnacentral:rRNA from 1 species
UGGGGAAUAUUGGACAAUGGGCGAAAGCCUGAUCCAGCCAUGCCGCGUGUGUGAAGAAGGUCUUCGGCUUGUAAAGCACUUUAAGUUGGGAGGAAGGGCAGUAAGUUAAUACCUUGCUGUUUUGACGUUACCAACAGAAUAAGCACCGGCUAACUUCGUGCCAGCAGCCGCGGUAAUACGAAGGGUGCAAGCGUUAAUCGGAAUUACUGGGCGUAAAGCGCGCGUAGGUGGUUUGGUAAGAUGGAUGUGAAAUCCCCGGGCUCAACCUGGGAACUGCAUCCAUAACUGCCUGACUAGAGUACGGUAGAGGGUGGUGGAAUUUCCUGUGUAGCGGUGAAAUGCGUAGAUAUAGGAAGGAACACCAGUGGCGAAGGCGACCACCUGGACUGAUACUGACACUGAGGUGCGAAAGCGUGGGGAGCAAACA